rnacentral:lncRNA from 13 species
AGCCUCUACCACAACCCUAGCCUCUACUACAACCCUAAACCCAGGCUCUCACACAACCCUAAUCCCAGCCUCUACCACAAUCCUAACCCUCUACCACAAUCCUAACCCCAGCCUCUACCACAACCCAAGCCUCUACUACAACCUUAACCUCUACUAUAAACCAACCAGCUUCUACCACAAACCUGACCCCAGCCUCUGCCACAAACCUGACCCCAGACUCUGCCACAACCCUGACCCCAGCCUCUACCACAACCCUAACCCCAGGCUCUACCACAACCCUAACCCCAGUCUCUACCACAACCCUAACCCUAGUCUCAACCCAAACCCCAACUCUUGCCUUAUGUUAAAACCUGUCUUAACCUUACUCCUGACCCUAACCCGCCCAAAUAGAGCUCCCCCACACCAAAUUCUCCAUUUAACCCAUGUUAGCCAACCUGGCUUUAUCAAAUGAGUUGAAUUGAAACAUCACCCUUGGGCCAAGAGCAGCAAACCGCGAGCUGAAAUUCCCUCCCUUUCCCUAGAUGUGCAUUGUUCUGUCAAGGCCUUGUAACUACUUCACCACAUGGAUGUGUGUGAUUCCUCCCUCACAAUGGUUGCAGGCAGGCAGAAUGGCUUGAGUUGUUAACCUCCCACCUCAUCCUCCUCCACUGUACUGUAGGUCCCUAGCAGGGUAUGGUGCAUGGAUGGUGGAUGCCCAGGGGUCCUGCUGCUGCCUAGAGGCUCAGUAACCCAUGGAUACUGUUAAUCAUGGAGACAGGUGGGCCGACUGAUGCCAUACCUAGAGCUUUGCAUGGAAGACUGACCUUACAGCAAUGCUCACCUCUGGGGUUUUGUGUGGGAGGGGCUUGACCAUAUGGCAGUGGUUUACCUCCAAAAGGACUCUGCUUUUUACAUUACAGAUGGUGGUGAGGUCAUCAAAAGGUCUCAACAAAAGAUUGUUAAUAUCUACUGCACAGAUUAGACAGUAUUUAGGAUGACAACUUCUCGUUGGGACUGCUCCUCAGUUUACAUUACGAAACAGCAUUUUCCCUCAGUUUGACCUCAGUCUGAUCUUUUUAUGCCAUGAUCUUCGCAGUGGAGUAUCUCACAUUUUGUUUAUUUAUGGGGGACAAAAUAUGGAUACAUUUGCCACACUAUGCAACAUAUUUAGAAGUUUUUUUGUAACUUUAUUAGUUACGAGGUCAUUCAAACUUUGGAUUCAUUUAACAUUUUAAUACACUUGAUAAUGUUGCAUUUUAAUGUCAAAUUUAAUUACGUUUGUAAAAACAACAAAUGAUGACAUUAGCCCCAAGCAAGCUGAGUAUACUUACAAAACUAAUCUUUCAAGUGUUUAUUUAUUGUGAAAUGGAGACCAGAAUGACCUACCACCCAAAAGGUAAUUGUAGCACUUGAAACACCCAAACUCAAACUCAUUUGAAUAUUAAUAGACAAACACAACCUGUACGUGCUAAAGGCCAAAUCACAGCUUAUCGUGUGGUAAACACAACAACAUUCCCAUUCUCAUGUGUUCGAACAGCUAAAAUGAAAAUGUAACCUGUCUGUGGAUGUCUCACAGCAUUCCUUAUUUCUCCCCAUCUUGUCCUCAGUGUGAGGUGACUGUUUCACAAUUUUGUGUUUUCUGUCUCUGGCAGCCAGAGAGGGAAAACAGAGGAUACUAGGGGCAGACGGAGAGGGAACAGAGGAGACUAGGGGGAGACGGAGAGGGAACAGAGAUUAGGGGCAGCCAGAGAGGGAACAGAGGAUACUAGGGGCAGACGGAGAGAGGGAACAGAGGAGACUAGGGGCAGACAGAGAGGGAACAGAGAUUAGGGGCAGCCAGAG